AUUGAACGCUGGCGGCAGGCCUAACACAUGCAAGUCGAGCGGUAGAGAGGAGCUUGCUUCUCUUGAGAGCGGCGGACGGGUGAGUAAUGCCUAGGAAUCUGCCUGGUAGUGGGGGAUAACGUUCGGAAACGGACGCUAAUACCGCAUACGUCCUACGGGAGAAAGCAGGGGACCUUCGGGCCUUGCGCUAUCAGAUGAGCCUAGGUCGGAUUAGCUAGUUGGUGAGGUAAUGGCUCACCAAGGCGACGAUCCGUAACUGGUCUGAGAGGAUGAUCAGUCACACUGGAACUGAGACACGGUCCAGACUCCUACGGGAGGCAGCAGUGGGGAAUAUUGGACAAUGGGCGAAAGCCUGAUCCAGCCAUGCCGCGUGUGUGAAGAAGGUCUUCGGAUUGUAAAGCACUUUAAGUCGGGAGGAAGGGCAGUAAAUUAAUACUUUGCUGGGUUGACGUACCGACAGAAUAG
rnacentral:rRNA from 1 species